rnacentral:hammerhead_ribozyme from 1 species
AUCUAGUUGACGAGUCCAAAAGAGGACGAAAUGCGCUUUCCGGAU